GAGGGUGUAGCUCAGUGGUAGAGUGCAUGGCUAGCAUGCAUGAGGUCCUGGGUUCAAUCCUGUGUACCUCCA
rnacentral:tRNA from 1 species